GUAUCUUAAUUUGUGUUCCGAAGAUUUUCGAAGGUCUUAACGGGUGUGGAACGACAUGAGGGAUGCUGAACUCUUGAUUUCAUCUUCAGGAUUCCCAGGUCAGCCACCAGAGGUCACCUCAUCAUCAAGUAAAAAGUAGCCUGAAAA